rnacentral:misc_RNA from 1 species
AACUUUCGACAAUGGAUCACUUGGCUCUGGCAUCGAUGAAGAACGCAGCGAAACGCGAUAGGUAAUGUGAAUUGCAGAAUUCAGUGAAUCAUCGAAUCUUUGAACGCACCUUGCGCUCGCUGGUAUUCCGGUGAGCAUGCCUGUUUGAGUGUCAUGAAACUAUCAACCGGGACUUGGGUUUUUCCCUCGUUCUCGGCUUGGAUUUGGGUGCUUGCAGGACUUUGGUGUGCUGCUCACCUUAAAAGAAUUAGCUGGACAUGUCGCAUGACUUGGUUCUACUUGGCGUAAUAAGUAUUUCGCUGAGGACAUCCCUCGGGGUGGCCAGGACUUGUGGUGGACGUCUGCUUUCUAGCCUCAUCAUCUCUCCGAGACAUGACUUUUUAUGAUCUGGCCUCAAAUCAGGUAGGACUACCCGCUGAACUUAAGCAUAUCAAUAAGCGGAGGCU